UCAAUAUUCAAAAGCUUUUUUGAAACUGCUUCUCCCGCCUGUAGGAUCUCUUUAUGCAUGUUUCCCACGCAAAUAGUUUUCAUUCUCACCUGCACUCCCGGCCUGUGCCAAAAUGGGAGCUUUAGAACAGGGUAUGGACAUCCAGCGAAGCGUAAUGGUCACAGAUUGAACUGCUCUGGUUUAAAGCCAGAGUUCGCAACCUCUACCAGCAUCCGCAUAACCUAAGCGAAAAUGGGAGCUUUGGAAUAGGUUAUGGGCAUCCAUCUAACAAUGGGUGAUGAAGGAAUUAUGCAGACACUGUAGCUGCAACUGCUCUGGCAGACAUGUACGCAAAAUGUGUAAGCAUAGACAAGGCACCUGAACUGUUUGACAGAGCCACCAAACAGUAACGGAGUUUCCUUGAUUGUAGAAUAUAUGCAAAAUGCAGAAGCAUAGAUAAAGCACCUGAACUGUUUGACAGGAUGCCUCAAAGCGCACAUUUCUAUUGCAAGGAUAUUAUCAAAAUGGGUUUGUUGAGAAGGGUUGAGAACAUGUAACUACAUGCAUAACAGACCUUCUCAAGCUUUGAAAUGGAUCUUAGGAAGAAUGACUGACAUGGAAUUUUAAUUAUUUUAUUUUAGGUUUUUAAUUAAAGAUCUGAUCUAAUAAUUUUAGAUGGGUAGUGUAGUUAUAGAGAAUAUGCAGGUCAUUAUGUAAUAAUGAAAUUGUUUUGCAAUUUAGAUCAGUUUCAGUUUCAGGGCAA